rnacentral:tRNA from 10 species
UGCGCUUGUGGCGGAAUGGCAGACGCGCUAGACUUAGGAUCUAGUACUUUAUGGUGUAAGAGUUCAAGUCUCUUCAAGCGCACCAU